GGCGAAGCAGGUUGAUGGCGCAUUAUUGUUGAAUAAAAAAUGGUGGAAAACUUGAAGAACAUCAUAUGUAGGAUAUUUCACAUAUUCAACACGAAUUUAUUUUAUUCUUAAAAUUACGGAAUGCAGUGUAUUAAGUUUAAUGCUCACAGAUUUCUGUAAUAAGGACUCUGCUUCAGCAUUCAAUCAGCAAAAACCUGAAAUACGUGUUCAGUACCGAUAUAAUAAUGGAAUACAACGUAGACGGAACCCACGGAAAAAAGAGCCUCAAAACACAUAAAGUGAAUCUCUAAUGAGCUUUGUUAGCGCCGAUGAACCAGAAACACAAUUAAGAAGAGCACUCCAAUUAAAUAAGAAGCAGUUUUUUCAAAAAAGGGCAAUCGCGGGAAAAUCUUUGCAGCGACUGGGCACAUCAAAUUUAAAUCACUUGUUUAACUAGCUUUAUUAUGUUUUUAAAGUGAAUACCCAACGUUUGAUUUUUUUGUUAGUUUUUUUUUUUAAGAAUUUGUGUUAGUUGUAAUUAGAUAAGUUGACCAACUGUCCUCCUUUGAGGAGAAUUGUCCUACUCAAACGUGAUUUGUCCUCCCCAAAAAUAUUGUCCUUCGCUAUUCUUCUUUUGAGCAAAAAUGUCCUCCUUGUGCUCCUUCUCAGUUUUUAUAGCAAUGAUGAAAUUUUCAAAAAAUUUCGUUCGGAAUAUUAGUAUGUCCUAAUCAUACACAAUCAUUGUAUGUAAAAGGAGUUAAAUUUUUCAACUUUCAGUUAAAUGAUGUAAACUUUUGUUUCAACUGACCGCCUGUGAUAGUUGAGCAGUGUAAACGCCUUUUAGCCUUAAUCAAUAAUAUAUAAUACGGCUUUCCCACGGCACCCCAAUUACGUAGUUCGCUCUCUCAUUCGUAAUUCGCACUACAAUUACCCUUCGAAUUACGUAAUUCGCCAUA